GACGAACGCUGGCGGCGUGCUUAACACAUGCAAGUCGAACGGAAAGGCCCUGCUUUUGUGGGGUGCUCGAGUGGCGGACGGGUGAGUAACACGUGAGUAACCUGCCCUUGACUUUGGGAUAACUUCAGGAAACUGGGGCUAAUACCGGAUAGGAGCUCCUGCUGCAUGGUGGGGGUUGGAAAGUUUCGGCGGUUGGGGAUGGACUCGCGGCUUAUCAGCUUGUUGGUGGGGUAGUGGCUUACCAAGGCUUUGACGGGUAGCCGGCCUGAGAGGGUGACCGGCCACAUUGGGACUGCGAUACGGCCCAGACUCCUACGGGAGGCAGCAGUGGGGAAUAUUGCACAAUGGGCGGAAGCCUGAUGCAGCAACGCCGCGUGCGGGAUGACGGCCUUCGGGUUGUAAACCGCUUUCGCCUGUGACGAAGCGUGAGUGACGGUAAUGGGUAAAGAAGCACCGGCUAACUACGUG
rnacentral:rRNA from 1 species